CUACCAUGCAAGUCGAACGGUGAACACGGAGCUUGCUCUGUGGGAUCAGUGGCGAACGGGUGAGUAACACGUGAGCAACCUGCCCCUGACUCUGGGAUAAGCGCUGGAAACGGCGUCUAAUACUGGAUAUGUGACGUGACCGCAUGGUCUGCGUCUGGAAAGAAUUUCGGUUGGGGAUGGGCUCGCGGCCUAUCAGCUUGUUGGUGAGGUAAUGGCUCACCAAGGCGUCGACGGGUAGCCGGCCUGAGAGGGUGACCGGCCACACUGGGACUGAGACACGGCCCAGACUCCUACGGGAGGCAGCAGUGGGGAAUAUUGCACAAUGGGCGCAAGCCUGAUGCAGCAACGCCGCGUGAGGGACGACGGCCUUCGGGUUGUAAACCUCUUUUAGCAGGGAAGAAGCGAAAGUGACGGUACCUGCAGAAAAAGCGCCGGCUAACUACGUGCCAGCAGCCGCGGUAAUACGUAGGGCGCAAGCGUUAUCCGGAAUUAUUGGGCGUAAAGAGCUCGUAGGCGGUUUGUCGCGUCUGCUGUGAAAUCCGGAGGCUCAACCUCCGGCCUGCAGUGGGUACGGGCAGACUAGAGUGCGGUAGGGGAGAUUGGAAUUCCUGGUGUAGCGGUGGAAUGCGCAGAUAUCAGGAGGAACACCGAUGGCGAAGGCAGAUCUCUGGGCCGUAACUGACGCUGAGGAGCGAAAGGGUGGGGAGCAAACAGGCUUAGAUACCCUGGUAGUCCACCCCGUAAACGUUGGGAACUAGUUGUGGGGUCCAUUCCACGGAUUCCGUGACGCAGCUAACGCAUUAAGUUCCCCGCCUGGGGAGUACGGCCGCAAGGCUAAAACUCA
rnacentral:rRNA from 1 species